AGAAAAAAACCUAUGAUAUCAGCAAAAGAAUUGAUAGGUGGAAUUAAGAAACCAAACUCAAAGAAAUCAGAAAAGAAAAAAUAAACAAAACUAACAAUCAUCUAUCCUAUGCAUUUAAGCUUGUUCAAUCAUUUUGGGGGACCAUAAGUCACAGGAGCCAUUAGACUUCUUGUUCCAUGCCAGUGUUUCUCCAAAGUGGCGCCCAUCAUCCUCUAAAAUGGGGCUAUGCUUGUUUACAUGUCCAAUUAACAGGUGCCUAUCCUAUGCACUUAGGAUCCCUCCUUGUGUUGUAUACUUUAGAGUUGGAUGAGAUACAAAUGAAAUGAAGUACAAAUACUAGGAAAAAUCUGCAUUAAAAAAGGGCAUGCCAAGCACGUACUUUGCAUCCCUUAGGAGAUACAUAAUGAGACCUAAGCUCCAAAAAUACAUAAACAGCCAUAGACAAAGCCAAUAAUAUAUCAUCGAUAGAAGACAUAACAAAAGCAUACGACUAGUCACCAAAUCUAUAAUUUCUAAAAUUAGCAAUCUCUUCACAAAUGCCAACAUAGUCUAAUAUCAAUUAACACAACAUAUAACAAAAGAAAAAACUAGGGUUUCUCAAGUCCUAAGGUUACAAUCCUCAAUUGUAGAAAAAACUUUGUUGCAAUAUUUUCUGAAAUUCAAUCAUUCUGAAAAAUGCUUUGAAAAUAACACGCUAACUGUUUAUAUAGUGGUCAAACCGUUUAAAAAUUAUGUUCAAAUUACUAAUCUACUUCUGCCAGAUGUAUAUCACCAAAUCCUCCCG